rnacentral:lncRNA from 1 species
CAGACUUUCAGUAUCUGCUAUUGUGGAGUGCCUGUCUUCCCUCUUCUCAUGCCCUAGUCCCCGUUGGCCUUGGCUGAAGGUGCAUUGUUUUGCCUCUAGGCCUGAAGAGGCCCCGCCUUACAUCUUCCAGGGGACACACAGCAAAGCCUGGAAAAUCAGUGUGGGAGAGAUCUUCCAAAGCUCAGGAGCUGAGGUGGUGACAAGAACUGGCAAAAAGAGAAUGCCACUAGAUGGAGAAUGAGGUGGAGGGAGAGCAUCAGGGUCAGUGGUGUGCAGGUAUGGACAAGGUUCUGACCCUUAUUAUUGGAACUCAAAUCCAGAUGGAGUUUGUUGGGUCUUCACAUCAUUGGAAGGUGAAUAGAAAAGUAUGUCUUCAGAAUUUCACCAUGUUUUGGAAGAAUUGCAGCAAUAAAGAAAGAAUUCCUUUGUUUCCACUCCAUUUCUUUUAAGGAAAACCUGGAAUAUCUGAGGGUGCAAGCUGAGAAAGGUCUGCUUAUCUAUUCCCUACUCUGGAGAUCAAAAACAAUCCAAGUCUACUGUUCUCUUCUCCUGGCACUCUUAACUUGUACACAUUGCAACAUUUUAUGUCAAAGUAAUGAUCAAGCUAUCCUAACAAGGACGAGCCCUUAUUAAAUAAUUCACUAUGG